rnacentral:lncRNA from 1 species
GUCGACUGAUUUAGUAUAUGAGAUCUUCGUACAGGUAUUUACAAUUGAAAUAUGUUAAUUCAUUCAUUACAAAAAGUCAGAAUUUCGUAAUACUACAAUACCCUAAAUUGAACCAACAUCAUAAUUUAACACCUCGAGAGAAUUGUUUCAUAACCUUACAAGAAAAAAAAAUCAAGAAUUCACUACCAAAAUUAGCCUUAAAUUAAAACACAAAACGAAAACAAACCAACCGAGAGCACAAAAGAAGAAGAAAGCAUGAAAAUUCAGGAACAUGCAGGCACACAAUGUGACAAUUAAAUGGCUGAUCAAGAAAAUAAGAAAUGAUGGAGUACAACCCUUCGCCAAUCAUUUUCUCAACCAAAAUAGAGCAAGCGUCAACAAGCACGCCCUCAUAAGUCUCGAAAACAAGCUCGUCAACAAGCACGCCCUCAUAAGUCUCGAAAACAAGCUCGCCAACUAUGACUACUUGCAGUUUAAUACGUUAGCUAUCCAAUUCAUCAACUGAACCAGCAACCAGCAUCAAAUUUGCCAAAGCCACAAUCUACACAAUACACAUUGUCAAUCACAAAGAUAAUUUAAAAACAACUUUUUAUAAUAAUAAUUAUGAAUAAUAAUAAAAAUUAAAAUCAGAAGCGACAACAGAGACAGAAGAGAUGACAGCUAACAACUCAAGAAUGUCGAAAAGCUACGAUGUCAGAACAAUACUGACAACGUCAGUUGUCGGCGGCGUGUGGGGGUGUGUGAGUGAGACUGUGAAAGUGAGUGAGUGGGGCUGGAUAGCUACGGCUGGGGGCUGUGCAUUUGUGCCGUCGUUGUGGAAGUAGAUGAGAAGAGAGGAAUUACCAAAGAUUAAGAAUGGGAAAUCUGAAAUUUAUCUUAUGAAUUACUUAAUUGGGUUCAUUUUUAAUCCAGCUAUGAAAUCAAAAAAAGAUUUAACACGAUUUUAAAAAAUAUCAUAAAUGUUUUAACACAAUGAUAACAUUUAGUUGAUUUUUGACGAAAUACAAAAAGCUCAAGUUUAUCAAACUCAAGCAAAUCAAAAUUUAUUGUGCCUUGAACUAUGAAACCAUACCUUGAGUUUUAGUUUCCUCUAAUGUCCAAAGUGAUUUGUUGGUGCUAUCUAUUAGAGUGAUUUGAUGGUGCUCUUAUAUUGUUGGUGCUAACUGUAAAGGUGAGGUGCUUUUAUAUUAUUAAGAUGUAUACGAUCGAGAAUGCAUUUCAAUACGGCAUCAAACAUAUUUG